AAAUAGAUACCCGGGUAGUCCACGCCGUAAACGAUGAAUACUAGGUGUAGGGGUUGUCAUGACCUCUGUGCCGCCGCUAACGCAUUAAGUAUUCCGCCUGGGGAGUACGGUCGCAAGAUUAAAACUCAAAGGAAUUGACGGGGGCCCGCACAAGCAGCGGAGCAUGUGGUUUAAUUCGAAGCAACGCGAAGAACCUUACCUAGACUUGACAUCUCCUGAAUUACUCUGUAAUGGAGGAAGCCACUUCGGUGGCAGGAAGACAGGUGGUGCAUGGUUGUCGUCAGCUCGUGUCGUGAGAUGUUGGGUUAAGUCCCGCAACGAGCGCAACCCUUAUUGUUAGUUGCUACCAUUUAGUUGAGCACUCUAGCGAGACUGCCCGGGUUAACCGGGAGGAAGGUGGGGAUGACGUCAAAUCAUCAUGCCCCUUAUGUCUAGGGCUACACACGUGCUACAAUGGUCGGUACAAUGAGAUGCAACCUCGCGAGAGUGAGCAAAACUAUAAAACCGAUCUCAGUUCGGAUUGUAGGCUGAAACUCG
rnacentral:rRNA from 1 species